rnacentral:rRNA from 1 species
CCUACGGGUGGCAGCAGUGGGGAAUAUUGGACAAUGGGGGCAACCCUGAUCCAGCCAUGCCGCGUGUGUGAAGAAGGCCCUCGGGUUGUAAAGCACUUUCAGUGAGGAAGAACGCCUGGUGGUUAAUACCCAUCAGGAAAGACAUCACUCACAGAAGAAGCACCGGCUAACUCCGUGCCAGCAGCCGCGGUAAUUCGGAGGGUGCGAGCGUUAAUCGGAAUUACUGGGCGUAAAGCGCGCGUAGGUGGCUUGAUAAGCCGGUUGUGAAAGCCCCGGGCUCAACCUGGGAACGGCAUCCGGAACUGUCAAGCUAGAGUGCAGGAGAGGAAGGUAGAAUUCCCGGUGUAGCGGUGAAAUGCGUAGAGAUCGGGAGGAAUACCAGUGGCGAAGGCGGCCUUCUGGACUGACACUGACACUGAGGUGCGAAAGCGUGGGUAGCAAACAGGAUUAGAUACCCUAGUAGUC